rnacentral:miRNA from 1 species
CAGACGUCAUCACGGUUUUUGCUCUGUCUACAUUUGGGAAAGUAGAAUGACCUCACGUCAUCGCUUUUUUCCCGAAUAUAGACAAAGAAAUACCGAGAUAACGUGU